CUCCCCAUGGGGCCCGGUCCCCUGAACACUUCAUCAUCCGCCUCCAGCAGACGUGCCACACUGUAGCCACUCUACAGGAACGCUACCAUUCACUUUUUUCUGAUUUAAGAAACUGUGUAUAUAUAUAAUUACCCAGUUUCAUGCAUGGCUUUUGUUGAGCAAUAUCAUUUACUUUGUUGAUUUUUUUUUUUAUGUGUGCAAACAUCUGCAACAAAUGGGUGGUCGUCCUGAGGACAUCUUUGCCAUGCAGGUUAAAUUUCUGUUCAUCUCAGACAGUGCGCGUAUUGAGAGCCGAGUCUUCUGAACGGGUCUGUGAGAAACUGUCCAAUAUAUUGGAAGAGAAGUAGUGUCCGCAGUGAGGCUGGCGUCGCGUGCCUGAUCUGUGGCUCCUCUAACCUUAUUACUCUGCCCUUCGCCGUAGCCAUUUCAACCCUGAAACUUUUAGUUGAAUUGCUAUCGAUUCUGGAGCGGCUAGGCUUUCACGCCGGCUGGGGGCUGGGGGGUGUUAUCUGAUUCUCAGUAAUGCCUGAAGGACAGUGGUCUAUUUUUGGCUGAGCGAUCACGUGAGCCCCCCUCCCCAUCCCAUCCCAGCUAGGGCACUUCUAAUUAUGACCCCUAUUUCCCGGCAGCGGUGGAGCUGUGUAGUGACAUGGCAGAAGCGGGCACUGUUGAUGAUGGCAUCUACUCUUAAGCUCCGGGGAGCUUCUCUCCAUUUCGCUAAUGUUCGCUCUCUGUCCUUGAGGACCUGGAAGGAGAAAGAGAGGUGACGGUAAUGAUGGCAUUUUGACUUUUACAGGCUCUGUCUUAUGGGGGAUCGAGCCAAUGCAAACACACACACACACACACACAAUCUUCAAAGCAUUCUUUUCUCCUGACGCCACAUUGACACUUGAUGAAGACCCAUGGUCCUCCUGUCUCUUCAGUAGAACAGCACCGACAGUCAUAGUUUAUCUCCAUUGUAAAUGGCCAGAAUUGUUGAAAAAGUCAGAAGCUUAUUAUCAGGGAUUAUGCUGUGGAGCAAAAAGAAUGGUCUUGAAUGCUUUGUUGUAGGAUUCCCUUUUGAGGUGUUGCUGUAAGAUGAACAUCUGACAAUGAAUGUAAUCCCACAUUGUGCAUUUUCAGGUCUGUGUUUUAAAUGCAGCUUUAUCCUGUAUUUCAAAGAUUUAUAGCAACUGUCAGUCACUCUUAUAAAGCAGUUCCUAUAGGCUUUAGGGGACAAAAGGGAACAUUCCUUAUAAGGAUAUUGGCUUUUUACAAAAAAAAAAAUUAUUAUUCAAGAAAGUUAACUAUUUCAAGGUGAAGGUUUGAAGUUUGGUCUUUCUGUGACAGUUAUUAGGUCACACAGUGGAAGGAUACACUGGCGCAUUGGCACCAAAAAUGGGCAAGACCUGUUUGAUUGCACCCCGAUUACAGAGGUGUGCACAUGAUGGCUUUGAACACCUUUUUUUAUUUUAGUAAGGGCCAAGAUCAAGGGAUGAAAGGGUUCUCCCAAAAGACCAGACCAGAUCAGAGUCCACCAGCCGCACAUCAGAUUUUUCACUAAGCAUCAACAAAUGCUUUGAAUUAUUGCCCUUCGUUGCAGUGAACGAGUCCAGGCACCAAUCUGACCUCCGAGCUUGGCUCCCCAUGUCGGCUAAAACUCGCGGGAGUGUGUAAAUAAUUUAGGAGCCGGGCUCCUGGCCUGGGCUUUGUGUGUCUCCGCAGGCCUAGCCUGGCAUGCAGGAAGAGCAGACUAGAAUGCGGCAUUUCCUGUGGCAGCAGGCCUCUGGAGCCCCAGAAGCUGCCAGACUGGAAGCUUUAAUUAAAAUAAGAGCACAGUGGGGAAGCUGAGGAUGGAGUGAGGGGAAAAAGAACACCUCCAGCCAUUGGCAACACAUUUGGUUUUUUGGUUGUUUUUUUUUCAUCAGUUGUUCUGCAGAUGGGGUUCCUCUCCAUAAUUUGGUCCUUUUAUUUAUUUUAAUGGGGCUAUUUAUAAAGAUUCUGUGUGAGUUGUGUUGUAAGACGUGGACUCGAAGCUUCAUCAGUGCAGAGCCUCGACGAGCCCGCAGCAGGGAACAGAUAGUCAAAGAUGCCCUCAGAACGGCAGCCAGUCGGAUUCCGCUGGGGUACUCCUGGGGAGAGCCAUGCGGUUCUGGCACACCGAACAGACACUGGAGGUAAUUCCUCUGUGUCUUGUCAGCCUCCCCUCAUUCCCCUCAGCUCCAGUGAGCGCAAGACGGGGCUUUAUCGGUAGCACACUGCUGGAGGGAUUACUGCAUGAAAUCCUACCUUCCUCUCAUUAAAAAGACAAAGAUAAGAGGAUAUCCAGCUAAGGGAGAUGGGGCAAGGCUCCCCGAAAGAUUUUUACACCUCUGAUGGUCAAAUCGUUUGACUUUGAUGGGGUGGGCUGAGAAAUCUGAUUGGAUUAGAGAGAUGCAUCGAGGGCGUUUGGACUCAGGCCAUGUGCUAAUGAAAAUGAAAGGUAAUUAAAGGAUACAAAAUGUCAUCUGUGAGACAUGAUAGAAUGGUUCAUUUUUGUUCCUUAGAUGCUCCUUAACAAAGGGGAUUUGGACACUUAAUGGCAGCUUUUUGAGAAAGUUGAAUCCCCUGAGACUUCCUGGGCUGCAGGAUAGCGGCUGUCAGUCACUGAUUCUCAGCUAAGAAGUCACUACCUGUCAGUUAGAUUAAUAAUUAAUUUGGCAGAUACUGAAGCAUGCCCUCCAGGGUGGUUUAGUGGGCCAGGACAUCUGGCCUGAAACCUGAAACAGAAAAAGAGAAGCAAAGUGUUCCUUUAAUACUCCAAGUGGGCCUUAACUACAAGCCUUGGUCUUGUAUGGCUAAUGCAAUGAAAAGGGCUGAAUAACUGAACUUCACAGAGCCUUAUAUAGAAUAAUAUUGUUAAAUACAAUAACAGUGCUGUUGUUUGUUUAGGGAAAAAAAAAUUAGCUCUUCAGGAACAAUUUGUUUCCAUGCUGUUAUGCUCCACUAUGUAAAAGGCACACCUCUUCGCUUUUAAAAUGACAUUUAAAAAAAAAUUUACCUCAGCUCUAACACUUCUCCCUCCGACUCCGCACACAUUUUUAUUUAAGCCCCAUCUUUUUCCACAUUAGUCGUCCCACGUUUUUAAAUAAGGUGUGCUAAAACCCACACUACAAACAGUAGAAUUUGAACAACAGCUGUUCCACGCCACUCUGCUAAGCUGAUGGAAUUCUCUGAAAAGAGCCGGUUAUCAGGUGAUUGCAGGAUUUGCGCCCUUUGAUGCGCAGGUCCAGCCCCUGAGAAUACCAAUUGCUGAUUGCAGUGCGCACUGCACGACUUUGGGCAUAAGACUCGCAGCAUUCGCAUUUCCAGUAAACAGUAGGAGAAGGAACUUGUAUUUGACCUUCACUGAUCCCCUGCUGUCUGGUAAUCAAGUGAAGAUCCCUGCUAUGCAACAAAGCUAUUUGUCUUCGAGUGAUCAACCUGGUCCAUCACACUCAUGUUUCCAAACAAUUAAUUCCGUCACCCAUUGUAACAAGACAGGUAGCUGUAUGCAUCGGCGGGUUGUCUGCUGUCGCUGCACCACAGCGAGAAGCCGG